rnacentral:rRNA from 1 species
GAUGAACGCUGGCGGCGUGCUUAACACAUGCAAGUCGAACGAAGCACCUCUCCCGAAGAUUGACACAGCUUGCUGUAGAUUGAUUCAUUUGAGGUGACUGAGUGGCGGACGGGUGAGUAACGCGUGGGUAACCUGCCUCAUAGAGGGGGACAACAGUUGGAAACGGCUGCUAAUACCGCAUAGUAAGAAGAAUUCGCAUGUUUUCUUCUUGAAAGAUUUAUCGCUAUGAGAUGGACCCGCGUCUGAUUAGCUAGUUGGUAAGGUAACGGCUUACCAAGGCGACGAUCAGUAGCCGGCUUGAGAGAGUGAACGGCCACAUUGGGACUGAGACACGGCCCAAACUCCUACGGGAGGCAGCAGUGGGGAAUAUUGCACAAUGGGGGAAACCCUGAUGCAGCGACGCCGCGUGAGUGAAGAAGUAUUUCGGUAUGUAAAGCUCUAUCAGCAGGGAAGAUAAUGACGGUACCUGACUAAGAAGCCCCGGCUAACUACGUG